CGUGCUAUGCAAAUGUCGCCCACGGGCGGCCAAUUGCCUGCGCUCCGCGCGCGGCUCCGAGCGUCCCGUCCCGCCAGCGGCCUCGAGACCUGAGCAGCUAGGGAACAAACCGCAGCGGUCCAGGGAGCCCCGAGCGCAGCGUAGAGCCAGGGUACGCUUCGAGGACCCGCGCAGCCCCGCUCGGUCUCCGGGCCCUAGUCAGACAGCCAGGCAAGCGCAGCGCCACCCGGCCGAGCCCAGCGCAGCGCUCUGUAGCCUAGCGCGCGCCACCGCCCGCGCCCCGCACCGGGGAAUGCGCCCUCGGCGCGCAGGCCAGGGGGCGCCCGCAGCCCGCCCCGGGGGAGGCGGCCCCGAGCGCCCCUGAGCCUUUCCAUGGCCCGGGCUAGGGCCCGGGGCCUCGGCUGCUGACGUGCACGAAGCCAGGGGACCCAGUGAAGCCGAGUCCGCGGUGCGGAUCCCGGCUCAGGCUAAGAGACAAGAGGGCGCGGACAGGGCCGUGGCCCGGGGGGGGGGCAGCUAAAGCGGACCGGCCGGACGCGAACCUCUCCGCUGCUGCGGCGGCCACCGCUGCCCGGGCGCCCAGGCCCCGCCGCCGUGGACGAGGUGUCCACAGAACUGGAGCCUGCUUCCUGGGCCCCAGGCCCCUCCCACGAUGCUUGUCACUGCCUUCAUCCUCUGGGCUUCCCUGCUGACCGGGGCCUGGCCUGCUACCCCUAUCCAGGACCAGCUUCCAGCCACACCUAGAGUCCGACUGUCAUUCAAAGAACUUAAGGCCACCGGUACCGCCCACUUCUUCAACUUUCUGCUCAACACUACAGACUACAGAAUCCUGCUCAAGGAUGAGGACCAUGACCGCAUGUAUGUGGGCAGCAAGGACUACGUGCUGUCCCUGGACCUGCAUGACAUCAACCGAGAGCCCCUUAUUAUCCAUUGGGCAGCCUCCCCGCAGCGCAUUGAGGAGUGCAUACUGUCAGGCAAGGAUGGCAAUGGAGAGUGUGGUAACUUCGUCCGGCUCAUCCAGCCUUGGAACCGAACACACCUGUAUGUGUGUGGGACCGGUGCCUACAACCCCAUGUGCACCUAUGUGAACCGUGGCCGUCGCGCACAGGCCCUACCGUGGACCCAGAUGCAGGUGGUCAGAGGCCGAGGCAGCAGGGCCACCGAUGGUGCCGACCGCCCGACGCCCACAGCCCCACGCCAGGAUUACAUCUUCUACCUGGAGCCUGAGAAACUGGAGUCAGGAAAAGGCAAAUGUCCCUAUGACCCCAAGCUGGACACAGCCUCAGCCCUCAUCAAUGAGGAACUCUAUGCAGGAGUGUACAUCGAUUUUAUGGGUACCGAUGCAGCCAUUUUCCGCACGCUGGGGAAGCAGACAGCCAUGCGCACAGAUCAGUACAACUCCCGGUGGCUCAAUGAUCCUUCCUUCAUACAUGCUGAGCUCAUCCCUGACAGUGCAGAGCGCAAUGACGAUAAACUCUACUUCUUCUUCCGAGAGCGCUCGGCAGAGGCGCCACAGAACCCUGCUGUGUAUGCCCGCAUCGGGCGCAUCUGCCUCAACGAUGACGGUGGCCAUUGCUGCCUGGUCAACAAGUGGAGCACAUUCCUGAAGGCUCGGCUCGUCUGCUCCGUGCCAGGCGAGGAUGGUAUUGAGACCCACUUCGACGAACUCCAGGAUGUGUUUGUCCAGCAGACCCAGGACGUCAGGAACCCAGUCAUUUAUGCUGUCUUUACCUCUUCAGGCUCUGUGUUCCGAGGGUCUGCAGUGUGUGUCUACUCCAUGGCUGAUAUCCGCAUGGUCUUCAAUGGGCCUUUUGCUCACAAGGAGGGCCCCAACUAUCAAUGGAUGCCCUUCUCAGGAAAGAUGCCCUAUCCUCGGCCUGGCACAUGCCCUGGUGGAACCUUCACGCCCUCGAUGAAGUCCACUAAGGACUACCCUGAUGAAGUGAUCAACUUCAUGCGCACUCAUCCGCUCAUGUACCAGGCCGUCUACCCGCUCCAGCGGCGACCCCUGGUGGUCCGUACAGGCGCUCCCUACCGCCUCACCACUGUCGCUGUGGACCAGGUGGAUGCAGCUGAUGGACGCUAUGAGGUGCUUUUCCUGGGCACAGCAUCCUCAGCCCCACUGAGGUCCUGCCCGGCCCGUUCCAGACCGCGGGACAGUGCAGAAGGUCAUCGUGCUGCCCAAGGACGACCAGGAGGUGGAAGAGCUGAUGCUAGAGGAAGUGGAGGUCUUCAAGGAACCAGCACCUGUUAAGACCAUGACCAUCUCUUCCAAGAGGCAACAACUGUAUGUGGCCUCAGCCGUGGGUGUCACACACCUGAGCCUGCACCGCUGCCAGGCCUAUGGAGCUGCCUGUGCCGACUGCUGCCUUGCCCGCGAUCCCUACUGUGCCUGGGAUGGCCAGGCCUGCUCUCGCUACACAGCAUCCUCCAAGAGGCGGAGUCGCCGGCAAGAUGUCCGCCACGGGAACCCUAUCAGACAGUGCCGUGGUUUCAAUUCCAAUGCAAACAAGAAUGCCGUAGAGUCUGUGCAGUACGGAGUGGCCGGCAGCGCAGCUUUCCUUGAGUGUCAGCCCCGCUCACCUCAAGCCACUGUCAAGUGGCUGUUCCAGCGAGAUCCCAGUGAUCGGCGCCGUGAGAUUCGCGCAGAGGACCGCUUCCUGCGUACAGAGCAGGGGCUGUUGCUUCGCGCCCUGCAGCUUGGUGACCGCGGCCUCUACUCCUGCACGGCCACUGAGAACAACUUCAAGCACAUCGUCACGCGGGUGCAGCUGCAUGUACUGGGCCGGGAUGCCGUCCAUGCUGCCCUCUUCCCCCCACUGGCUGUGAGCGUCCCUCCACCUCCUGGCACAGGCCCUCCAACGCCUCCUUACCAGGAGCUGGCCCAGCUCCUAGCCCAGCCGGAAGUGGGCCUCAUCCAUCAGUACUGCCAGGGUUACUGGCGCCACGUGCCCCCCAGACCCAGGGAGGCGCCAGGAGCACUUAGGCCUCCUGAACUCCAGGACCAGAAAAAGCCGAGGAACCGCCGCCACCACCCUCCGGACACAUGAGGCCAGCUGCUGGAGGCCUGCAUAGGACCAGCCUAGCCCCUCAUCCCUUUUAAUAUAAAAGAUAUAUAUAUAUAUAAAAAUAUCUAUAUUCUAUACAUACCCUACCCCUGCAAAGACAGUAUUUAUUGGUGGGUUGUAUAUAGCCUGCCUAGGUGGCAGCAUUAUCCAGAACUUAGACCCGUGUUGGUCAGCAAUGGCACAUGACUGAGCAAUGCCCAGCCCGGCCUAGGGAGUUGCCAGGGCCAGCCCGAGACCACACAGUCCCCAGACUCCAUGGAGAUCUCCCUGCUGAAGAGCUGUCAAGAUCUACAAAACACAGGGAGGGAGCGAGCCCUUCUUGUCAGGGCAUGGACCGCAUGCCUUUGCUGAUGCGCGUUGUCAUCUGUGCCUCGGCAUAGACGUGGACACCAGGAUUGCUGUGGAGUCUGGGGUGGGGGCUCAGGGCACUCGGAGGAGGGAGAAAGGGGCCAUCCCAGGAGACAGGCCCCUGCCUGGGACAGAGGUGCCUAGUCAAGGCCAACCUUUCCCAGGUAUUUUUUCCCUAUUUAUUGGGGACAGAAGAGACGUCUGUCUGGGUGAGGCAGAACCUUCUCUUCUCCCUUCCUUGCCUGUUGUCCUGGCAGGUCCAGCCCACUCUACCUCCUUAGCUUUUCCUGUGCCGCCUCGACUCAUGGGUGGGGCUGGGUGCGGGCAUGGCUUAAAAGAACCCCCCCCCCCGCCCUGAGGAUACACGGGCCGUGGUGGAGGCCCAGGGCCUGUCUGGCAUCCCCAAGUCUCCCUUCUGCCUACUGCCUCAGGUGACGGGUGUAACUAGCUCUGGAGGCAGUGGGGUAGAUGGUCUGGGGGAGGGGUGUCCUGCAGCCUCUGCUACCCAGGCCACAGCCACUCUUGGGUUCCAUCUUGCUAAUAAAUGCUGGCUCUGGGACUAGA